rnacentral:sRNA from 1 species
GCCAGGCGUGGUGGCUCACGCCUGUAAUCCCAGCACUUUGGGAGGCUGAGGCAGGUGGAUCACCUGAGGUCAGGAGUUUGAGACCAGCCUGGCCAACAUGGUGAAACCUCGCCUCUA